AUACGUAUGGGGCAAGCGUUGUUCGGAUUUAUUGGGCGUAAAGGGCACGCAGGCGGACUAUUAAGUUGGAUGUAUAAUCGUCAGGCUCAACCUGAUACCUGCAUCCAAAACUGAUAGUCUUGAGUUCUGGAGAGGAAAGCGGAAUUCUCGGUGUAGCGGUGGAAUGCGUAGAUAUCGAGAGGAACACCAAUGGCGAAGGCAGCUUUCUGGACAGAAACUGACGCUGAAACACGAAAGCUAGGGUAGCGAACGGGAUUAGAAACCCCGGUAGUCC
rnacentral:rRNA from 1 species